CGCGAAGUCCCACUAAGUCAUCGCCGCCGCCGCCGCUGCCCACGCCGGCCGCUUCCGGCGACCUCCGGCGCCGCGCAGCGCGCCCCCGAGCUCCCCACGGUCCGCGCAUCCCUCCCCUCCGGCCAGAUUCUCUGCUCCCGUCCUCUGCCGCUUGCUCGCAACGGGAGCCCCCGAUUCGACCUCCCCUGCUGCGCCACCGCUCCCCAAUGGCCGCGCCGCCCAAGAUUCUCGCCGGGGCCCGGGGCCUCUCGCAGCCGCACCCUUCCCCUUCACGCGCCCCCCAUGCCAUCGUUUCUAUGGGUGCUCAAAUCCAUGGCUCUGGCGGCAAGCCGUAGGCCGGAUGAGCCGGCGGCAUACAGAGAAGGGGAAGGAGGUGGAGGUGGAGGUGGAGGUAGCGGCGGCGGCAGCGGCGGUGGAGGUGGAUGGGGACAAAUUCGACUACAACAUAGAGGAUUGCCGCCGCAGGUUCCAGGCCGUCUACCCUGGUGAAUCGUUCAAGCACGACGCCUAGGGUUCCCCAUCGCUAUCCUUUGGUUCGCCUCUGGUGUCUACCACGACGUUCCAAUCGCCAGAGUCGGAGCCCCGCCAUCGUCCAAUCCUCGACUUGGGGCCGUCUCUCAUCAAUUCCAGCCAUUAGAGCACUGCACCAACAAAGGGAACCCAAGAGUAGCUCCUCGCGAAAAUCCUCCAUCGCAUCGAAUUUUUGAGUUCUUCCAGAACUUCGGUGAGAUUGCUUCUGCACUGUUCGUCAUAGGACGGUGAGUUCCUUCUCGCUGAAACAUCUCGGUAUAUUAUGUUUGGCAUCAAUUUUUUAGCCCCCAACCAAUUGUUGUCAAAAGUAGGUCUGGCAUUGUCAAAAUAGCUUUUGAGGGAUUUUUUUAGAAACAAACUUCUGCGAGGCACAACCAUAAUCUGUGUGUUAGAAAUAAGCUUUGUUCAUGUAUAUUAUUAUGCCCAAUUUAAAACUGAGUAUGAUCAGAAUGGUUUCAUUAUGGUUAUUGUGACUUGUGACUGAAGGACUAUGCCAUUGUUGCCCCGUAAAGAUUUGUGCAGGUCCAUACUUCCUUUUUCCAAUGUGGUCGAGGUCUCUAGCAAGGAUACCCUCCCUGGGGUGUUCCGCAACUUCGUGGACUGCGUCUGCUCACCCAACGCCAGUGGAGAUCCGCUGCUGCAACACCUCAAGGAAGCGUCCUGCAACACAGCGCAAGGGCCGCAAGACUGUCCUUCAGGAACUCGGCACCUGGACCUAGGCAGGGCAACGUCGUCUGUGCUAUCCUUGUCUUCCUGGUCCAUGCUUCCUUUUUUUGAAGUCUGCGUGGUCAAGGUCUAUGGCAAGGACGCCCUCCCUGGGGUAUUCCGCAACUUCAUGGACUGCAUCUGCUCACCCGACGUCAGUGGAGAUCCACUGCUGCGACGCGUCAAGGAAGUGUCCUGCACAGCGUAGCGGCCGCGGGGUCAUCCUUCAGGAACUUGGCGUGCGACCUGCUCACCUAGACUUGGUGGGGCAGCGGCGCCUGUGCUAUUCUCGUCAUCCUGGGGCGAUCGGCAAUAUCAACGGAUGAUUCUUUGAAGGUUGUUGCAUCCAGGUCGAUGAUACCUGAAAUUCUUCGGAGUUCUUUUGAAUCGAAAGAUCAGGAAAUAAGCUUGUGGUGACUUUCUGAGGUUUUCGCAUUGGACCGUUUGGAACUUCGGAUUGGCAGAGAGCUAGAGACCCCGGUGCUCUGAAGGAUGUUGAAUUUGAGAACAUAAUUUAUUGUUGUUAAAUAAUAUUUGCUUCUUUCAUAUGGAAAAGUUAGCGUUGUUGGGAGCUCGAUGUUGCAGUGGGCCUUGACAGUGGCUAGCUGGGAGUUGGCGAGGUAGAUGUCGUCGUCGACAAGGGCCGUGACCUCAUCUCCUUUGGCCCCAAGUCCGACUACCACCACAACCAGACAUGCUCCUCCAUAGGCCUUGGAUUACUGUCAGCUACAAGAUAAAGUUCGGAGAAAGGAGCUAAAACUUGACUCACCAGGUCUGCUCUAUAUUGUACCAUACAGUUCAUAUUUUGGUAGUCUUGCUUCUUCGGAAAUUUCUGAAAUUCAAAGUUACCCUCAAAGUGGUAGAGAAUGGACAGAACUAGAGCAUGGGCUGUCAGCUUCUGUGUUGGUAGGGCAAUUCUUAGGCCCACCAAGAUACUGGUCCUGGACAAAGCCACUGCUUCGGUGGACAGUGCAACCGAUAACCUGAUCCAGAACACACUACAACAUCAUUUCUCAGGGUCAAUUGUCAUCACGACUGUGCAUCGAACAUUAAAACAAAACAUUGAUCCCCAUGUGGGUAGUGGGUACACAAACAUUGUCCUUUUGAUUUAUUUUUCCAGUAGAUGAUUGUGGACCAUGUUUUUUUUUACUCCAUGCCCUUUUGCUGUACUACAUAAGACAAUAGAAAGCUGGUUCAUACAAGAAUGUAUGAACAUCUGGGUGCCUUCAUCAACAAAGGAAAAAAUAAAC